CCAAUAGCGUAUAUUAAAGUUGUUGCAGUUAAAAAGCUCGUAGUUGAAUUUCGGGAUCAGUAGGUCGGUCGUGCCACUGGUAUGAACUGGUCUCACUGGUUCCUCCCUCUUGACGAACUGCAAUGCUAUUAAUUUAGUGUUGUAGGAAAUCAGGACUGUUACUUUGAAAAAAUUAGAGUGUUUAAAGCAGGCUUUGGCUUGAAUACAUUAGCAUGGAAUAAUGAAAUAGGACGUUCGAUCCUAUUUUGUUGGCUUCUAGGAUUGACGUAAUGAUUAAUAGGGACAGUUGGAGGCAUUAGUAUUCAAUUGUCAGAGGUGAAAUUCUUGGAUUUAUUGAAGACUAACUACUGCGAAAGCAUUUGCCAAGGAUGUUUUCAUUAAUCAAGAACGAAAGUUAGGGGAUCGAAGACGAUCAGAUACCGUCGUAGUCUUAACCAUAAACUAUGCCGACUAGGGAUCGGAUGAUGUUAAUUUUAUAAUGACUCAUUCGGCGCCUUACG
rnacentral:misc_RNA from 1 species